ensembl:lncRNA
UGGUUGGUGGGUUGAUUACAGGGUUGGUUACAGGUUGGUGGGUUGAUUGCAGGGUUGGUUACAGGGUUGGUUACAGGGUUGGUGGUUUGGUUACAGGGUUGGUGGGUUGGUUACAGGGUUGGUGGGUUUUGGGUUGGUGGGUUGAUUGCAGGGUUGGUUACAGGGUUGGUUACAGGGUUGGUGGUUUGGUUACAGGGUAGGUUACAGAGUUGGUUGGUUACAGGGUUGGUGGGUUGAUUACAGGUUUGGUUACAGGGUUGGUGGGUUGAUUACAGGUUUGGUUACAGGGUUGGUGGGUUGGUUACAGGGUUGGUGGGUUACAGGGUUGGUUGGUU